rnacentral:lncRNA from 1 species
CUCUAGUUCUCGUGGUUUGGUGUUAGGCUCUAAACCCCAGCAACCAGGGUUCGAUCAUUGGCAUCCACAGAAAUGAUAUGCAGCAAUAAUAAUUAUAAUAAUAAUUCCUCAACAAAUGAGGUAUUCUAAAAUACCUCCUUCCACUUUCAACCUCUUGAAAUAUCGUAAUAGUUAUUUUUAAUUUAGUAAAAUAAUAAUUUUAUUAUUUUUUAAAAAUUAUUUUUGAUAUUAUUAUAUAAAUUAUUUUUGAAAAUAUAUAAAAAAUUUAAUUUUAAAUAAAAAAA